rnacentral:lncRNA from 1 species
AAAUCCGACAGCUUAAGGAGGCUUGAAUUGAAUAUGCACCCAGCGGCAGUGGUCUCGUAGGAAAUGGUGUUCUCGUAAGUCAGGCUGCCCCGCUCAAGCACGAGAGAGCUUUGGUUAGAGCUCAGAGCGUCAGUUCUGCUGCGAGUGCUGCCGGCAGUCGGCCCGGGUUGAGCUGUCCACUCGUCCAGGUGCUGAAGCUGGUGGAACAUUGGGGUUCUCUGGCUGCCAUGGCACUCAAUCAAACCACCUAGAGUGGACUGGCCGAGACCAGACUGGGUACCAAGCAGAGAAGUGCAGAGGAAGGCACUGGGAGAGCACCAGAAUUGGAAAUAGAGCGGCCAUUUGGAUUUGGGCAGGAAGCAGCCGAGCACAGCUUUGGAUCCUUCUUUAGGGAAAUCGAGUUAUGGAUUUAUGGUCCCGGUCAAGCUCAGCCCAUCCCCAGCCAGGGGCGGGCUCAGCGAGCAGCAAGAGUUCUGGUGGCGGCAGCGGCGGCAGUAGCAGCGGCAGCGGUAGCAGCGGCAGCGGCAGCUUGGUCCUCUGACUCUCUUCGGUGACGGGUAUUCUUGGGUGGAUAAUACGGAUUACGUUGUUAUUGCUUAAGAAUACGCGUAGUCGAGGAGAGUACCAGCGGCAGGGGGGCAGCGGCCGCCCUCCCCAGCCCACCAGCUGGCCACUAAACGCCCGUGGUUGCCAAGGUAGCACUUUCUUGUUCUUUUCAUUUCCUCGGGUGUUUUCGCACUGGUUCCACCGAAAAGGCUGUGCGCUGCGCCUCUGGUGACCAGGACUGGAAAAUGGGUUCGCGCAGGGGGCGGGGGGCGAGGUGAAGGGGAUGGGCGGGGAGAGGAAGGGGGUCCCCCGAGCCUGUGGGGCGGUUCUGCGUCCCCUGCCCGCUCCUCUCCUCUCCACGGUGGGGUGCGGCUCGGGGGAGAGACGCGUUCUGGGCAAUUUUCUAAAGUUGGGAACGACUGAAAGGCCUUGAGCAGUUUGGGAGCGUCGCGAGUGAGGUGCUGAAGCUGGGCAGAGGGUCGCUGGGGGCUGCCUCCGCAGAAAGGGCGUGUCCGUGGGCGAAGGUGCCCCCGCAAGCCUGCGGAAGCGCGUGACUUCGCGAAUCCCGGGCCCGGGGCGGUGCCGGAGCCCCACCCCCGGCCGGCCGCGCCGCUCCGCAACCAGACUAGGCGGUCGAGCUGGGGAGGGGGCGGGGGUCCGGGGGCUGGGUCCCCGCGGAACUUCCAGAUCGGAAGUGUGGCGGGUCUCUCAGGAACGCAUAUUUUCUUUUCGGAUUCUCCG